AGCUUCUCACCUCCCUCGCUGGCUUAUGAUGAAAAUGGCUCAGUAGACUAUGACCCUUGUCUCUAGAGAGAGAAGGGUUAAGUGGAGGGUCAUAGUGAGCCUCUGAGGCUAGCGAAAUCCGCCAGGAAACGCGGGACCCAGGGAGACAAGGACAGAGCUUUGUCACAGUGGACAUUUCACCCUGGGCUGAGUCUGGGCAGCAGAGCUUGCCCCCCCUAGAAAAGAGAGAGGAGUCCCUUUCUAAUAAUUGUCUAACAGCUUACUUUUAAGGGUUGUUAGGCGACAGUGCCAGAGACACACACACACACACAAGGAUGCGGGCUGGCUGGGAGAAUGUAAAUUGAUUGUUUUGUUCCUGUAACAAAUUAGAUAAGAUAAAAGCCUGUUUCUCCCUAAACUGAGACUAAAUAUGCAGGUUCCUGAAGGGAGGAGCUACAAGUACCUAAAACCCAGUCAGACCUGCAGAGUGAUAAGUGGUUGGUAUAAAUAGGAUCUAAAUGUAAAAAAGUCAUCAGAUUCCACCCCAAGCUAGGUUAAGGCAAAAGACCCAAUAACCGAGAAGAGUGCUGUCAGAGACAAGACAGGAAAGAGGUGCAGCUAGUCCUUUAACCAGGACAGGCGAUUUUAAAAAAUAAUAGCGUCUCUCUCUAGUGUCACAAUGAGCAUAAGAUCAGAAAUCAGGCAGAUAGAUGGCACUGGGUGCAAUUUCUGUUGUCACCCAAGUUAUCCCUCUGACUCUUCUUUGUUGUUAACUCACAUUUAGCCAAGUCUGUUCUAUUGCACAUUGUGGUGUAAUAUAUCUAAUCUUUUUGUGCAGUCUUAUUAGUGAGAUGCUACAGUACAGUCUUGCAUGGCUGUGACAAAACUUGCAUUUAAAAAAUAUGAAUAGUUGGAACCUGGCUGAAAAUGUUAAAAUAGGUCUAUACAUUAAUCAUCAAAGCUUAGUAGAGGAAGUGAUAAGUACUUACACAUUCGAGAAGUAUAAUGGAAUUGCUGAUGUUGGUAAAAGAUAAUUCUCAGCUGUUUACCAAUAUGUUAGCACUAAAGGCUCUACAACUUUGAAAAUAUUAGUGAUGCUGGUGUUAGUGCAGCGACCUCAUCCGGUUGAUUACACAGAAAAGCUGAGAUGGCAUUUUUAAGUUGAGCACUGGAUUCAACAUUCAGUACUUAUUUAGGGAAUUGACUCAUUGUAAGAAAACACAUGCCUUGACAUUUGGAAUGAUACACAAAAUCAAAAGCCAAGACACUAGGGGGAAAUUAGCAUGAUAUUUCAAGACAAAUGAGAUGUGGACUUUUCCUGAAGAGCUGACAGUAGCAGGGCUUGAUUCUGAUGAUUUACUCACAUUUACAAUCAAGCUCUAAGUUAAUACUUAAGAGGCUAAGCAAAGAGACAAAUGAGAGACUGCAUGAAAGGGACACUUUAGCUGUGCUGCUUGGGUGGAGUGAGUGGGGGAAUGAGAGAUGAGGUAAGUGAGAACUUAGACUGGUCUUUUGGGGUAAGAAUGAUGCAGAAGGCAGUGAAGAUACUGGAAAAGCUGAACAUGGCUAUAGUCAGAGCAACAAACCCCACAGAUACCAUUAAAAAUGUGGCUGUGAAAGUUAAGGGAGACCAGAGUGGGGAGGAAUUUACAAUAGUUAGGAUAAAGGACAAGGGCCUGAAUGACACUUUUAGUGGUGGGACCAGACAAGAAUGGAUGGAGUCUGGAAAUGUAGAGUUAAACCCAGCAGGGUUUAGUGGCAACAGCUAUGUGAGGGAGGAAUAAAAAAAAUGAAACCAAGGUUGUGUGCCCAUUGAAUAGGGAGCUAAUGGAGAAGAGGGAAGAGUCAGGGUGGAAAAGCUGAGUUCAGUUUUUGUCUGAGUUGAAAGAACAGGAGUGCUUGUGGCACCUUAGAGAUUAACAAAUUUAUUGGAGCAUAAGCUUCUGCUCCAAUAAAUUUGUUAGUCUCUAAGGUGCCACAAGUACUCCUGUUCUUUUUGUGGAUACAGACUAACACGGCUGCUACUCUGAAACCUGUCUGAGUUGAGUUGCCUGCAAGACACCAGCGUGGAUGUUCAGAUGCAAACAUUUCUGAUCUCCCUGUGUAAGGUACUGGAAUGGCAAUGGACAAUACUACCUGGAGACAACAUGUACUAGGAGGGGGCCACUGAAAGCUCUAAGGCAUGUUGACAGAGGAAGAAAUUCUAAAGGAACUGUCAGAAAGGUGAGGUAAGAGAAGCGAGUGCUGUGAGAGCUGAACAGCAUUUAGUACUCUUAAAAGGUGCUGGUCUAAGCAGCUGAAGUGCUAGCUGUUGACAGAAAUGGGGCACCAUGGGGUCUUUGAUCUGGAGCAAGGACCUCUAGUUGAAAGUCUCAUGUCUGUUUUUUUGCUUGAUCUCAAAUACCAACAAUAGUGUGAAUUGUGAUGGUGUUGGAUACAGACACUGGUCUGACUGGCAUUGCAGUCACUAACUUAUUUUACAUACCCUCCCAUGUCCACCUAUGAAAUGACUACAAGGGCAGAUUUGAACCAGUGACUGGUUCCAGCAGUCAUGGCUUAAGAGGGAAUGUCCUCUCAUGGAUCAGUAAUUGGUUAAAAGACAGGAAACAAAGGGUAGGAAUAAAUGGUCUGUUUUCAGAAUGGAGAGGUAAAUAGUGGGGUUCUCCCAAGGGUCUGUACUGGGACCAAUGCUGUUCAACAUAAUGCCUCCAACAUGAGAUUAUCUGAGUGCCCAGAAGCUUCAAGGUAGUUAUUCUCACAACACCCUUAGGAGAUAAUAAGGAAGUACUAUCCCCAUUUUAGAAAUAGGAAACUGAGGCACAGAGAUUGACCUGUUCGAAGUCACACAGGAAGUCUGGCAGAGCAGGAAAUUAAACCCAGGUCUUCCAACUCACAGGCGUGUGCCCUAACCACUAGACCAUCCUUCCUCACAAUAAUACUGCACACUUUUGAAGUAGAGUUUUAAAAUGUGAUAAAACAGAAAAAUCACUUAAGUGACUGAAAUCUAGUAAAUCCUUUGCUUAACUCUUAACCUGUGCGCAUUUUUUUUUAAUUACAAUAUCAGAAUCAACUAUGGUAAAGGUGUCCUAAGCAAUACUGCUGGGCAGGCUAUUUAACAAGAUAAAGAGGCUUGAGGAAGUAA